AAAGAGGCCCGAUCCUGAAACAGCCCCGAGGCUCUCGGCCUCCACACACCCCACACGACCCAUCUCCCCCGACCGAUCCGCCGCCCCCACCCCGAUCGAUCCGCCGCCCCCGCCUCGCCCUAACCGGCGGCGCUGCCGGCACCCUCGCCUCGGCCCCAACCGGCUGGGCCCUGGCGAGCUGCACGCCCUUCACCGGGCGGGAGCCAUGGCUGGUCGAGCAUGAGACUUCGCGCGCCUCUUCGACGGCGACCGUCGGACCACGGCCGCCGCCUCCUGUCACCGCCACGCACCGACGUGCGCCCCCGCCGUUGUGCCAUCCGACCCCUCCCUGUUGUUUUAUCUCGCCGCCGCGGCCUCCUUCCACCACCGAAAGGUACGGCCGGCAGCGCACUGCUGCAUCCCACCGCCAGGUUCCUCCAUGCCCUCGGAUACUUCCCCCACCGCCACCUGCACAUCGCCACCAGCCCCCAUGUCGUCGCCCUCGGCCACCUACUACAUCGAGGCACCGUCGGGUUGCCACGGAUCUGAGCGUUGGCCUCCUCCGCCGCACCAGAUCCAUCCCCUCCAUGCUACUUCCUCCGUUGCCGGUACCAACCUGGCAUCCAACUGCCGCCACAAGUCGAAUGGACAGCGGAGAGUUCCGCUACCAACCUCCUUGCUUCGCGGGCAUGUUCUGCCCCCCAAGAUGAUUCUGCAAAAGUUUUGCAGAAAGUUUGAAUAGUUUUUUCCAGGAAGUUCAGAUAAGAUUAAAAGAUCAGAUGGGGGUUUUAGUACAUUUUUAGAGAAGUUGCUAAUUACUAGUAAUAGCUGCUGCUCGUGUUUCUUUGGUUGAACUGAAUGCUUGUAGAUGAAGAGAUCAAAUUAGGUCCUUGAUUAUUUGUGUACAUUGAAGUUGCUUGAGAAAAUUUUCCUACUAGCAUCAUACUUUAAUCUUCUGUUGGUUAGACAAAAACAUGACAGUGCUAUAAAAAAAUUCGGUAUCUACCAACAUGCUCACGAAAAAAGGCUAACAAGUUCAAACUAAACGACAGAGCAGUUGGAUGCUUAGUAAAAACAGAUUUUUUUUUUGUUUUCUAAGAAAGACAAAGAAGUUCAACUAAAUUUUCGUACAAAUGGUCAUUUGCAGGUUACCGAGCAUGUCGUUCUCUUCUCGUGCCCAUGCUGCAGUCCCUCUACUUUUUUGAAUUAGUUUGGUGAUGAUUUCUGCAGCUACAUACGCGACGCCGCCGUGACCUGCUGCACACCUGGGGUUGUAUCUAGCAACGUCUCGGGCAGUCAUGCUCGCUAGCGCACGGAGGUGCUACGCCUGUUAGUGCUACAAGCACACAACGUAAGGCUAUGGGAAAAUUAGAAAACAACAAAGCUUCCCUAUUCUUUCUCCACGUGCGACCUUCCCAGGCUCCUCUCUCUGACCUUCCGCCGAGCCUUUCCGGCAGCCACGCUUGGCGGCUUCCCUGGAACCUGCAGUUUGUGCUUGUACUAAUGCGCGAUUUAUUUGGCUUAAAAAAUUGUUUUUGCGAAGGUCAAGAUGUUGUGUUGCAGAAGGUCAAGUGUCGGUGUACAAAAGUAGGGGCUCUCCUUUUAACCCCUUUACUUGUGCACGGGCAGUCGGAGCCGCGCCCGCGACCAUACUUAACAGGGUAGAGGAGGGAAGCCAGAGAGAAGCCGGAGCACAAGACGGUCAAGGCAACGCCAAGACCAGAAACACCAAAGAGCAAGAGGGCGAGGUGGACUCCCCCGGCAAGGCCCUUGCCGGGGCAACUUGCCCAGUACCAGCAGAGCGAGCCACCCUCGAGCCCAAGAGUUCCAAACGCCGCCAACGACUACGUUGGAACCAAGGCUCGGGAGGCACCUCUGUGGUGGCAUGUAGAUCUUUGUCAAGAUCAUAAACACACGAGAUCAGAUGAGGACCAGAAGACGACGACCCUUGGCGGGAUCCUAGCCGAGGAAAUCCACAAGACCCCUGGCAAGAUCCUUGCCGGGGACGACCACGACGCCACGGCAAGACCCUUGCCGGGGCCCCGGCAAGACCCUUGCCGAGGACACCAGCGGGCCGCAACUAGGCCCACGUCUGCCAAGAUGCACCGCCGUCCCCAUGCAGCUGCUAGCUCAACCAGCUGGGUAGGCACCUGCGUGGCGACGGGCAGCCUCUACACCGACCCAACAAGCACCUGCGUGGUGGCAUGCAGAUCUUCGUGAAGGCUCCACCACCACGCCAGCCCAGCAGCCAGCCAACGUGGCGCAGCAGCGCCUCGUCAGCUCGGACGCGCGUCGGAACCAGACGAAGCGGCGACAGCUGGGACGUGCUUCCUUGCCAUCCCCGAUAAAGCGAGAGGGGCGCGUCGGCAGCGCAUUAAAUGCGUUUGUCCGACAAUGCCAGAGGAUAGACUCAUCUACUGUACACCUUUCCUAUAAAAGGAGGCCCGAGGCGACCAGGAGAGGGAUUCGGAUCUUUUGGGCAAGUCACGCCCGUAGCUAGCUCAAGAACACAAGAACACUCAAAUACAUCCACCAAAGCAGGACUAGGGUGUUACGCAUCUCCGCGGCCCGAACCUGGGUAAACGAUCUGUGUGCUUCCUGCCAGACCCGCUCUUUGGACGACCCUGCGCCCGCCAACCGUAGAAGGGAUCCCAGUGAUUCCAUAGGUGUCGAUUUCCCCCGACAUCUUUGGCACGCCAGGUAGGGGUGCGCAGUUGUGGAAAUCUGGUAUGGUCGGAGCAGCGGCUUCAUCAUGGCCGUCGUUCCAAGGAAGAAGACGACCAAGCUUGACGACACCAUCUGCAGAUGCGGUGGAUGCCCGUGCAACGACAGGAAAGCUAAGUCGUGCGAAACUUUAAACAAUUUCGUCUUAUAUAUAAGGUUAUCGUCCUCUAAGGUCCUGCCCUAUGUAUGGAAAACCUGCACGCAAAGGGGCCCUUUCGCUAUUGGCAACGCCCUUGCUCUGUUUCGAGUCCGCUCAACAGCGCAAGCGGCCGCGUCGAGAACGGCAGGGUAGCCUUUCGCGAUUGGCAACACUCUCGAUUCUGACUCGAGUCAAGCUCGACAGUUCGAGCGGCCGCGUUGAGAGCGGUAAUGUGGCUCGCCUGGUAGCAAGCACACCCGGCAGGCCACUGGGGAUCCGUCCUCAAGACGCCGCGGCCUGGGUUUACGCACCGGCAAGCCUACCCGAUUGACGUAGGGGGAACAUACAAAGGGGGGGUUGAACGGGAUAGUAACAUGCAUAAUAUUAAAAGUGCUGCAGAGUUAUAUUACAUCAAUUGUUGCUGCUGUUCUAACUAAAGAUAAAAUUUUGUCUUGGUCAUGAACCUGCAGCGGCGGUGAGAAACGGGGUGCCUAGUCCCGACGCUGGCCCUCUAUCCUCUGAAUUCCAUCGAUGCGGCUGAUGAUGGGCUCGAUAUGCUCCAUGAGCACCGUGAGAUUCGCAUCCUCCGGCAAGCUCUCCAGCGCGGCGUGGAAGUCGAGGUUGGGAUUCCAGUGCGCCACCUUGGUGAGGACCUUGGUCAUGGCACCCCGGCAAAGCCUCCGGGCCUCAUCGGCCAGAGAGGCCGCCUGGUUGGAGUGAAGAUGCUCCAGGGCUCCAAGAACACCCUCGAAGAAUAGGGUCAGCUUGGCGUUGGGGCUCACGUUGCGCUCCGGGGUGUACCUCACAUUUGGCAUCCCCAUGGUAGCCAGCUGUGUGGUGAUCCUGCCGGCGACGUCUUCGAGGCGGCCGAUCCAGCGGGUCUCGUCCUCCACAAAAUCCUUGUGGUUGGCGGCUUCGUUCUUCCGCUUCUGCUUCUCGGCCUCUAGAUCCUUGGCCAGGGUCUCCUCCCGGGCCUUGGCCUCUGAAAGCGUCUCCUCAAGACCCUCCAGCUUCCGCUUCAGGUCUUUGAUGGAGUCGUUGGCCUUGGAGAGCUGCUCAGCCUUGCCGAGGACUGCGCCCUGCGCCUUCACCAGGGCACCGUUGAGCGUAUCCAUCUCCUUGGCUAGCUUCAGGGCCUGAUCCUUCAGCCCGUCCCGCUCCACCUCCAGCUCCUUCACCUUGCCGGCGUGAACCAGAGCCUGGGCAUUGAGUGCCUCCUUGUGCCUCUGCUCCAGCUCCUGGGUCCGCUGCACGACGAGCUUCUCCACCUCCUCGUCCUUGCCGCAGAGCGUUGCGGCGAGCCUCUCCUCACACGCGGCAAGGUCCUCCUCCUGGGAGUUUAGCGUGGCCUGCUGCUGGUGCCGAGCGGCCUCGGCCUGGGCGGCCUGCUGCUCCGCCAGUUCUUGGGCCUUCUCGAUGUCGGCCUGCUUCAUGAUAAGCUCCAACUGGCGCUCGGCCAUCGCGUCUUGGGCGACCUUCAGGUCCUCGUGGGCCUGGGGAACCAAGCCUGCGCCUCGGCAACACGCCCCUCGAGGUCCGCCUCCGCCUUGUCCACCACCGCCAUCCUGGACUUGGCCUUGUCUAGGCGAGCACGGUGAAGCGCCCAGAGCUUCUGGAAGUUGGCGCCCAUGGCCUGGAGGAGACGCUCUUCCCGGGAACCGCCGCCACCGGCGCUUGGCUCAUCAACAACCUCAAGCCCGGCGGCGGCGAGCACUUCUUCAUCAAACACCCCCCUCGACGGGCGCGCCGGUGUUCGCCGUCCCUGGGAGGUGGACGAACAGGUCGUCGCUCACCCUCAGGUACCUGCCCGAGCCAGAGGCAGCGGAGGAGGAAGGUUGGUCGUCAACCACCUCCUCCUCGGCAGCGGCCUUGCCGGCCUCCCCGGCAGGCCCCUUGCUGGCCUCCUCGGCAGCAGCUUUGCCGGGCUCCCCGGCAGACCCCUUGGCGGCGUCCCCAGCAGCAUCCUUGGCGUCCUCCUCGGUGGCGAUCUUCUCGGCCUCCGCCGCGGCAUCCUUGGCGACAUCCUCGAUGACGGUGUCUAUGUCCUCCCGGUCCGUCGAGGGAGGGUCUGGAUAUCGAGAAGGGGAUGAGACGAAGCCAAGACAAAGAUUCAAAGAGAAAAAGAGCAAGGACGGAAGGCGAGUGACUCACCCGUGCCGGGCUGGGAAGCAGAGGCCCCCUCCCCGCCAACAUCUGGCGCCGAGGCGAAGUCACCAGCGCCCGAGUUUGCCUCCUCCUCCUCCAUGUGCAUGGGCUCGGUGCUUGGCGCCCUUGCCGGGGACGCCCCUCGGGGCAGCAUGGUCGAUGGGGGCAGCGUGUUGGGGGAAGCCCUCAGUGGCUCCUCCCGCUGCUGUCCACCUCCUGCAACCACGAUAAGGUCAGCGCCAAGGGAUCGUACCCCCAACGCACGUCGACGAGGGGUGAGUGAUGAGCUUACGCUGGGGGCUGUACCGGGGGCUGCUGUCCGGGCUGCUCAACACCACCAGCGGUGUACCGAAAGUACCUGCCGGGGGCUGGCCGCUCGCCGAAGCCCUGGCCCUCUUCACCCUCUGGUCCAGUGUCUCCGCAUCCCUGCAAAGAAGAAGAAUAGAUCAAGAUAAGCGACACAGAUUGAGGAGACGAAGAUGACAAAAAGAAACAGGAUACUUACUCAUCCUCCACCUCCUCUUCUGCUGCCUUCCUCUUCCUCCUCGGGCCGAGGGACCCAAAGUCGAAAAUGACCUCCGCGUCGAUGUCUGCCGGAGGAGGGGAAGAAGGUGGAGUCCGAACACGCUUGGACGAAGAGGCAGUUGCUUUCUUCUUCGCCACCGCGGCCUUCACCAACUUCCUCGCCGCCGCGGCCCUUGUCUGGCGUGCGCACCCCUCCUGGGUCUGCUGCGGUUGCGCAGCCCUGCCGGGCCGGACCGGCUCGCCGGAGCUGGCCCACCGCAGGACUCGCCCUCUCCCCGUGGCUGGGGGAUCGACAGCCUCGGCGUCCUCCUCCGACGACUUGUCGACCACAUCCUCGAUGAGAGGAGCCCCGGUGUUGGCGCUGCUGGCCUCCCCAGCAGGCUCCGCCCACUAGGCAAGCUCCUUUUCCUCCGCGGCCGCCGCGGCCUUGUCCUCCACGCCGCCGGCGCUGCCGGCCUCCUUGGCGAGCUCCGCCUCCGCCGCCCUAGCGGCGAUGUAGUCCAGCUCCACCUGGGUGCUGUCCUGGACGAGCCACGGUUCGGCGCGGACGUACUUCUCCUCCAAGGUGUCAAGAAACUCCUGCACCUGAUCCGCCGGCGGCUCGGCCCAAGUUGGGACGAGGCCAUGCGCGUUGAACUCCGGCAUCAUGGCGAUGAUGUCGUUUCGGUGCGAGUUGUUGCUCAGCGGGACCACCCCCGCCGGCAACCAAAACAAGGGCCCCUUGGCGACCUUGCCGGCCUUCGCGGCCUUGCCGGACCGCUCGACCUUGCCGUCGCGGUUCACGUCGAGCUGGAAGAGCCGCUGGCAGAAGUGGGCAUGCCCCAUCACCGUGAGGUUGUGGUCGAGGCUGGGGUGAAGCCUCAUGAUGUCGGCCGCAUUCGUGAAGAGCUAGACCGGCCUCCCCUUGUUGUGCAGCGGAGCGAUUCGGCGGCGGGUGAAAUCCGCCCCGAUCAUCUCAAGGGUGAGCCCGGCCUCGGUGAGACGAAGGAUCCUGGUGGUGGCGACCGUGAGCUUCUUGUCAUUGACGUCGACAUCACUCUAGUCGUUUCUGCGGAUCGGCGGCGCGUGGCGGACCCGGCAAAAGUCCCGCGGAUCCUUCUCUUCAAUCCAGCACCACCGGCCCUGCCACUCCUCCCACCUCUCCUUCUGGGCACCUUCCGUAUAUGUCUUUUUCUCCUAGGUCCUUGGGAUCCAGGCGACACAACCGAAAAUGGUGCCCCCCUUUUGGAUGCGAGGGAAGAAGUAGUGGCGGAAGAGCGCUGUGUUGGGAUGCACUCCGGCGAAGCCCUCACAGAGAUGAGCGAAAAGGGCCAUGCACGCCACAUCAUUCGGAGUAAAAUCCAGAAGGCGGAAGCCAUAGGUAUGCAUGACAUCGUUGAAGAAAUCGAAGAAAGGGGGACAGAGCCCGUAGGAGAAGCAAUGGACGAAAAAUGGGUACCGAUUCAGGCCGGCUUCGGCGAAGGCGGCGGGGAUGACGCGCGUGGCCGGAUGCCCCGUCGCCUCGCUCCCCGUCUUGCACCCCCACAGGUGCUUGAAGUAGUCCCGGAGUUCGAUCGCGUCGACCGUCGACGGAAAGUAGGCGUGCUGCGUCCGCCGCACCACCAACUCGCUCUCCGGCGGCUCCUUCUCCCCGGCGUCCUUGGACACCCCUUCCUCUGCUGGUUUUGGGCGCCAUGGCGGUUGAGGAAGACGAAGGCGCGUUGGCGGCGAGCGGGAGCAAAAGCUUGAGGUGGAGGAAGAAGGGGAUGACGUUUCCAAGAUUGGAGAAGGCGCAGGGGGUAAAUGAGCAGCGCGCCCGCGGUUAUUCCUUUUUACGGGGAAGGCAUGGGCCACCUCUUUCCCCAUUAACCACGAUGUGACGCAUGUGUGUAGCAACCGCCCCACGCAUGACCCCCACGUCAUACACGACCCUCCACGUCGCGCGGGUCAUGGGGAAGCGCAGUGGCCGAAAAAGUUACUACGGUAAAAUCCGCCCCACCUGCUCGCGCACCGUUCUGGGCCUAGCCCAACAACGCGUCGCGCUUAUGUAUGGCCCAGGCCCGGGGGCUCCUGUCGGUGUACAAAAGUAGGGGCUCUCCUUUUAACCCCUUUACUUGUGCACGGGCAGUCGGAGCUGCGCCCGCGACCACACUUAACAGGGCACAGGAGGGAAGCCGGAGAGAAGCCGGAGCACAAGACGGUCAAGGCAACGCCAAGACCAGAAACACCAAAGAGCAAGAGGGCGAGGUGGACUCCCCCGGCAAGGCCCUUGCCGGGGCAGCCUCCGCAGCCCCGGCAAGAGCCUUGCCGGGGCAACUUGCCCAGUACCAGCAGCGAGCCACCCUCGAGCCCAAGAGUUCCAAACGCUGCCAAUGACUACGUUGGAACCAAGGCUCGGGAGGCACCUCUGUGGUGGCAUGCAGAUCUUUGUCAAGAUCAUAAACACAUGAGAUCAGAUGAGGACCAGAAGACGAUGACCCUCGGCGGGAUCCUAGCCGAGGAAAUCCACAAGACCGCCGGCAAGAUCCUUGCCGGGGACGACCACGACGCCACGGCAAGACCCUUGCCGAGGACACCAGUGGGGCCGCAGCCAGGCUCACGUCUGCCAAGAUGCCACCGCCGUCCCCAUGCAUCUGCUAGCUCAACCAGCUGGGCAGGCACCUGCGUGGCGACGGGCAGCCUCUACACCGACCCAGCAAGCACCUGCGUGGUGGCAUGCAUAUCUUCGUGAAGGCUCCACCACCGCUCCAGCCCAGCAGCCAGCCAACGUGGCGCAGCAGCACCUCGUCAGCUCGGACGCGCGUCGGAACCAGACGAAGCGGCGACAGCUGGGACGUGCUUCGUUGUCGUCCCCGAUAAAGCGAGAGGGGUGCAUCGGCAGCGCAUUAAAUGCAUUUGUCCGACGGUGCCAGAGGAUAGACUCAUCUACUGUACACCUUUCCACCUCCUGUGUGCCACUAUGGCAGCCCCUUUUCCUAUAAAAGGAGGCCCGAGGCGACCAGGAGAAGGAUUCAGAUCUUUUGGGCAAGUCACGCCCGUAGCUAGCUCAAGAACACUCAAAUACAUCCACCAAAGCAGGACUAGGGUAUUACGCAUCUCCGCGGCCCGAACCUGGGUAAACGAUCUGUGUGCUUCCUGCCAGACCCGCUCUUUGCACGACCCCGCGCCCGCCAACCGUAGAAGGGAUCCCAGUGAUUCCAUAGGUGUCGAUUUCCCCCGACAUCAAGUGUGUAUUGUAUAUGUGUGUGUGUAUGUGUGUUUUUAAAAAUGCAUACCUUCAUUGCAAAACAGUAUGUUCAUUCUUUGAUUUGAGGAUGGUUUGCCGUGCAAAAGGACUGCAAAAGAAAUUUCGAUUUCCUUUAUAGUGUUGUGUUUUUAUUAGAAGAAAAGAAAAGAGAAGUUCAGUUUCUAACGAUGACGUGGUUCACGUGCAAACCAAUUGAAAAAAUGUACAGGUUCGCCUUCCAAAAUGUCCAACAUUUCUUGUGGAAAAAAUUUCACUCUAUUUUUUGAACUCUACGUGAGAACUUUAUGCUCUUUCAGAUGUGUGCAUUCGUAUUUGUGUAAAUGCGUGUAGCACACGAAGUGUAUGUGUAUUGUUGUGUGUAAUUUUCUUGAAUUAUAAUAGCAUGUGAAGUUCAUGUUUCAGAAAUUCAUAAGUUCACGUGCACCACAUACUGAAGAAAUUCAUCAAUGAAAAAAAGGAGUGCUUAGGCCCUUUCAUCGACAGCAAAAAAUGCCUAAAAAUGUUGCGAGACAAAAAAACUGCAUAAGAUAUAACAUAGUAAGUUCGUAGAAAGGGUGAAAAACAUAAUUUUGUUUUGUAAGUUUAACAAUUUCUAAAACACACCUUGACGUUCAAAUUUAAAAAAUAGGUUGCUUCAAUGUUUAUUACAAACCUGUAACUUUCCCUGGUACCGUAGAAUAAACCAAGAAGUUCAAAAAUAAAAAACGGAGCAGUUCAAAAAGUUAAUAAAAAAAUGGUGUUUCUACAUUUUAGUAAAAAAAUGGAGAAGUUCAAAUUUAAAUAACAUAGAAGUUCAAAACUUUUAUUCCAAAACCAAGAAAGUCAAAUGAAAAAACCCGAGUAGUUUAAAAGGUUUGUAAACAUGGAUGUGCCCUUGUACUUUUUAAGAUCUAGAAGUUCAAAUUUAAAUAAGUGAGCGGUUCGAUGUUUAUUACAUAACUAGGACUUUUCCCUAUACUAAUGAAUGACACCAAGAAGUCCUAAUUAAAAAGAAUGAAGUUGUUUGAUGUUUAUAAAAAUCUUAGAUUUUUCCCGAUACUAAAGAUUAAAACCAUGAAGUUCAAUUUUAAAAAAGGAGUAGUUCAAUGCAUAUUAAUUACUUAGUUUUUUCUCGUUACUAAAUAAUAAAACCAAGAAGUUCAAUUUUUAAAAGUAGAGCAGUUUGAUAUUUAUUUGUAAACUCAGUUUUUUCCGGUUACUAAAGAACAAGACCAAUAAGUUCUAUUCGAAAUAACGAAGAAGUUCGAUGUUUGUAACAAAACUGCAAUUUUCACAUUUCUAGAAAACACACAAAGAAGUUCAAAUAAAAAAAUUAGAGCGGUUUGAUGUCUGUAAAAAACUCAGAUUUUUUUCCGUUACUAAAGUGAAAUAGACAGAAGUUCAAAGUGAUAACAACCAGAAGUUCACGUACUGCAUGGUGUGUGUUUCAUACGAGAACAAAGAGUAAAAAGAUGAAGUCUAAAUUUGUUGUUGCUAGAAGUUCAAGUGCUCUUCCGUCGAAAGUUCAAAAAUUCUUGAGAGAGAGGUUCACCGCAUAUUUCCAUGUUCGAAAACACAAAAAAGAAUUUUUUUUGUGUUUUAAAAUAAUUCCCUCAAUCCACAAAGAAGUUCAGUUAUUAUUUGAUAGCAACUUGAUUUCAAAAAAGAAAAUAAAAAAUUCAAAUUAUAAAAAUGGAAAAAGUUCAUGUACUACAUGGUGUGUGUUUAAUAUGAGAAAAAUGAAUAAAAGGCAAGGUUUUCCUCGUUAUUAAAGAAUGGAAACAAGAAGUUCAAAAAUUAAAUAAUAAAGAAGUUCAACUUUUAAUAAUAGAGAGCUUCAAAAUUUCAUAAAAAGAUUAAGAAAUAAAACCAGGAAGUCGAUAUUAAAAAGAUGGAGAAGUUUGAUGAUUAUAGAAAACUCAGAUUUUCCUCGUUAUUAAAGAAUGGAAACAAGAAGUUCAAAAAUUAAAUAACAAGAAGUUCAACUUUUAAUAAUAGAGCGCUUCAAAAUUUCAUAAAAAAGAUUAAGAAAUAAAACCAGGAAGUCCAUAUUAAAAAGAUGGAGAAGUUCGAUGAUUAUAGAAAACUCAGAUUUUCCUCGUUAUUAAAGAAUGGAAAAAAGAAGUUCAAAAAUUAAAUAACAAGAAGUUCAACUUUUAAUAAUAGAGCGCUUCAAAUUUUCAUAAAAAAGGAUUAAGAAAUUCAGAUUAAUAUUCAUAAAAAACUCAGAUAUUUUCAUGUAACCGAGAGAAGUUCAGAUUGAUAACUGCCAGAAGUUCACGUACUACACGGUGUGCAUUUUGUAUUAAAGAAAGAAUACAAAAGCAAAGACUAUUGUUAUAAGUUCAAGUCCUCCGUCGGAGAAAAUUAGAAAAAUUAUUGUGGGAGUCAUUUGUACAAAUGAAAUAUCAUUUGUGUAACACUAACGAAUGGAUGAGAACGAAAAUACAUCACAGAAGUUCAACGUGAAAACAGCAGGAAGUUCAACUACUACAGUGAAUGAAUUUUAGAUGAAUUUUUUUAAAAUCAUCGCGAGUAUGAAAAACCGAUCAAUAAGGGAAAGUUGUGUGUUUACAGCAGCUUUCCACCAGUAUAUCACUUGCUCAAUUCCGGUGAGUGUUCCAGUGAGUGGAUGGAGAGCUACAAGCAAAAAAAGCACGUGAAAAACAGAGUGAAGUUCAAGUAAACAUGCCGAGAAGUUCAAGUUCUUCACGCGGUGCAUUUUUGAAGAAUCUGUUUCGUGAUAAAGGCAGAACGAAUGAUCCUGCCAUUUUCGAAAUUACUUGAAAACAGCUAGGAAUAAGAGAAAAAGUUUCGCAUUUUUCGUAGCUUUUCAACGGUAUAUUAUUUGCCCCAUUUCGAUAAAAGUUGUACAAAUUACAGCAAAAAUACAUUUUUAGACAUUUUCAAAAUUGACAUAAAAUCGUAAUGAAUUGGGAGAAAUAAUAUAUAUGAAAAAGUUUCGCAUUUCCUCAAGAUUUCCAACGCCAUACCAUUUGCUGCAUUCAGACGUAAGGUUAAAAAAUUAGCUCGAAAAUACGAACUCAGUGGCACUUGUACCGUUUUCUAAAUUACUUUUAAACCGUUCAAAAUUAGAAAAAACUUUCUACAAGAGAAAGUAGCGCAUUUUCAUAAGCUUUCCAACGCCAUAUCAUUUGCCUCAAUUGGAUUAGCCGUUUAGAAAUGAUAUAAAAAAUACGAACUCAGCUGUUCGGUUUGCGAAAUUUUACGAUUUUCCAAAUUACUCUUUAAUUUUACUGCCUGAAUUGUUCGACCUGAACUUCCCCUAGUGCAAGGUUGAACUUCCGUAAACAUUGCCCAAAUGGGGCUUUCGAUAUAUGUUGGAAAGCUAUGGACACGAGUAUCAUGACCCAAAUUAAAUUUUUGGCAAAAUUUAAGCGGUUUAAGAGCUGUUUUGAAAAUCGUUUUUUGUUCAUACAAAAAACAUGAAUCGUAUUUUCAAUCGCAUAUCAAAACCUCGGAAUGAGGUAAAUAAUAUGGCAUUGGAAUGCUGCUGCAAAACCGCUCCUUCCACGUGUUGAAAGUUUUCUCUAAUUCCCUACAGUUAAAGAGUAAUUUGGAAAAUCGUAAAAUUUUGCAAACCGAACAGCCGAGUUCGUAUUUUUGAUGUCAUUUCUAAACAGCUAAUCCAAUUGACGCAAAUGAUAUGGUGUUGGAAAUCUUAUGAAAAUGCGCUUCUUUUUCAUGUUUAAAGUUUUUCUAAUUUUGAACGGUUUAAAAGUAAUUUAGAAAAUGGUCCAAGUUGCACCGAGUUCGUAUUUUCGAGCUAAUUUUUUAACUGUAGAUCUGAUGUAGCAAAUGAUAUGGCGUUGGAAAGAUUGAGAAAAUGCGGAACUUUUUGGUAUAUAUUGUUUCUCCCAAUUUCUUACUGUUUUAAGUCAAUUUUGAAAAUGGCUAAAAACGUAUUUUUGCCAUAAUUUCUACAAACAUUAUCGUAAUGGGGCAAAUAAUAUACCGUUGAAAAGCUAAGAAAAAUGCAAAACUUUUUCAUGUCGAAGGUUUUCUCUUAUUCGUAGCCGUUUUCAAGUAAUUUUGAAAACGACAAGAUCAUUUGUUCUGGCUUUAUCGCGAAACAGAUUCUUCGAAAAUGCACCACGUGAACAACCUGAACUUCUCGGCAUGUGUACUUGAACUUCACUCUGUUUUCACGUGCUUUUUUUGAGCUCUCCAUCCACUCACCGGAAUUGAGCAAGUGAUAUACCGGUGGAAAGCUGCUGUAAACACGCAACUUUCUUGUGUUGAUCGUUUUUUCAUACUCGCGAUGAUUGUGAAAGUUUUUCAUCUGAAAUUCAUUCACUGUAGUAGUUGAACUUGCCGCUGUUUUCACGUUGAACUUCCGUGACGUAUUUUCGUUUGUAAUUUUUUUAUCCAUUCGUCAGUGUUACACAAAUGAUAUUCCUUUUGUACAAACCUCUCUCACAAUAUUUUUUAACUUUCUCCAACCGAGGACUUGAACUUAUAACAACAACAAAAUUGGACCUUGCCUUUUAAUUCAUUUUUAUCAUAUUAAACGCACACCAUGUAGUACAUGAACUUUUUCCAUUUUUAUAAUUUGAAUUUUUUAUUUUCUUUUUGAAAUCAAAUUGCUCCCAAAUGAUAACUGAACUUCUUUGUGGAUUGAGAGAAUUAUUUUGAAAUGCAAAAAACAAUUUUUUCGAACAUGGAAAUACAAGGUGAACCUCUCUCGCAAGAAUUUUCAAACUUCCCGGGAAAGAGCACUUUAACUUCUUUCAAUAAACCUUUUAAGCUUUUAUUUUUCUAUACUUUUAUUCUCACUUGAAAUGCAUUCCUUGCAGUAGUUGAACUUCUCGUUGUUUUCAUCUUGAACUUCGGUCACAUAUUUUUGUUCAACCUCUCUCACAAAUUUUUUUGAACUUUCUCGGGCCGAGCACUUGAACUUCUAUCAACAAAACUUUAGGCUUUGCAUUUUCGUUCUUUUUUAAUACAAAAUGCACACCGUGCAGUACGUGAACUUCUUGCAGUUAUCAAUCUAAAUUUCUAAGAUCAUGCAUUCUGCCUUCAUCGCGAAAACAGAGUCUCUGAAAAUGCACUGUGUGAAGAGGUUGAACUUCUGGAGCAGUUCUGUUUGAACUUCACUAUGUUUUUCACGUUCUGUUUUUUGCUCGUAACUCCCUAACCACUUAUCAGAAUUUAGAAAAUGAUAUACCGAUUGAAAGUUUUUGAAAACACGCAAUUUUCGCGUGUUGAUCAUAUUUUCAUAGUCGCAACGGUUAAUUUUUUUUGAAUACAUAAAAACAUGUUUUAAUUGGUAUACAUGAAACUUUUAAACUGUACAUCAGAAUAUAUCAUAUAAAAUAAUGUUGGAAAGUGUAUGAAUAUGAGCAACUUUUUCAUGUAGAUAGGUGUUACAAAUUCGUUGCCUUUUGAGAGCAAUUUUAAAAAUGGCAAACACGAUGUCUUUUUUGCCUCUCUUUUUUAACAUGUAAUUGAAGGUCGGAGUGUCGUAAUAUAAUUUUUGAACCGUGCACGAUGAGCAUGUGAACUUUUUACAAUAAACCUUUUAAGAGCAACUCUAGCAGACCUCACAAAACGCCCCGGCCCAGAAAAUAACCGCCAAAUUGCGGGCCGGGGCCAGAAAAUCUGCACGAUCAGAUCCCGCAUCCCGCCCCGGCCCGCAAAUUUUUUUGCGGGGCGCGGCAAAGCUUCUCCCCCAACGUCUAUCUUCACGGGCUGGGAGGCCGACCCGAGCUCAACCCCUAUCCGGCGCGAGAUUUGGCGGGAGGGACUACAAACACGUUUUUGCGCGAACUGCAAAUGCGUUUUGCGGGCCGGCGGGAUGCGGGGUCUGCUAGAGUUGCUCUAAGCUUUUAGUUUUUCUAAUCUUUUUACUCUCGCCUGAAACGCAUUCCGUAUAGUAGUUGAACUGCUCACUGUUUUCACGUUGAACUUCGGCCACAUAUUCUUCGACUUUUUUUAUUAAAUAAGCAUCAAACAUUUUUUCUAAAUUGAACUUCAUACUCUUAUUUUUUUUCUAGAAACGGGAUGAAUUUGAGUUUUCUGUAUAUAUCAAACUACUCCUUUAUUUUAAUUUGAACUUCUUCAUUUUAUUCUUUAGUAACACGAAAAACAUGAGUUUUUUUAAAUAUUGAACUUCUCUAUUUUUGUAUUUUGGACUUCUUGGUUUAUUUCUUUUACUAACAGAAAUAUCCUAGUUUUGUAAUAAAUAUUUGAACCGCUCUGUUAUUUAGAUUUGAACUGAUUCAUUAUUCUUUAGUAAAGAGGAAAUAUCUAAGUCUUUUUUAUAUACUUCGAACUUCUCUGUUAUUUUAAUUUGAACUUCCUAGGUUUAUUCUUAGAAAAAAACUAUGUUUUUAAAUAUGCAUCAAACAAAUUUUUUAAAAAAUUGACCUUCAUACUUUUAUUUUUCCUAGGAAUGGAAAGAAUUUGAGUUUUCGUAUACAUCGAACUACUCCUUCAUUUUAAUUUGAACUUUUUCAUUUUAUUCUUUAGUAACGAGAAAAAAAAUCUGAGUUUUUAAUAUACUUCGAACUUCUGUGUUAAUUUAAUAUGAACUUCUUAGUGUUAUUCUUAGAAAAAAUAAGUAAGCAUCAAGCACUUUUUAAAAAAUUGGACUUCAUACUUUUAUUUUCCCUAGAAACAGAAAUAAUUUGAUUUUUCCGUAUACAUCGGACUACUCCUUUACUUUAAUUUCAACUUCUUCAUUUUUAUUCUUUUGUAAUAAGGAAAAUCUUAUUUUCUUUAUAAAUAUUGAACUUCUCUAUUUUAGUAAUUUGGACUUCUUGGUUUAAUUCUUUUAGUAACGAAAAUAUCCUAUUUUUUUAAUAAAUAUUGGACCGUUUGUUAUUUAAAUUUGAACUUUUAGAUUUUUUUAUUUUAGAAACAAUGAAAGUUAUUUUUUAUGAUUUUUGAACUUCUCUAUUUUUAAUAUUUUAAAUUCUCUUUUUUAUUUUUACAAACGGUGAAAUAUCCGCUUUUAAGUGCUCUUUUAUUUUUGAACUGAUGUGUUAUUUUUGUUUGAACUUCCUAUAAUCUUCUUGUAAGCGGAUUUUGAUUUUCCGACUUCUAUACAUCGAACAACUGCAUUAUUAUUUUUUGAACUUCUUGUUUCUGUUCUUUAAUGACAAGGAAAUAUGCAUUUUGUAUAAUCAUCGAACUGCUCCCCUUUUUAAUUUGGACUUCUUGCGUUAUUUAUUUUAAUAACGAAAAAGUCCAAGUUGCUUUAUUAAACAUCGAGCGACUCCGUUUUUUAAAUUUGAAUCUCUACUUUUUUAAAUCUUUUUAGGUACAUUUUUCACCUUUUUCCUUUUUAGGUACAUUUUUCAUUGACGGGUUUGAUUUUUUUCUAACCUCCCGAAUUCAGAUUAUUAUAUGCAUGAACUUUUCUGGAGGACAAUACUUGAACAAUAUUUUUAAUUAUCAUUAUGUUGCGUCUGAAGCUUUGCAUUUUUGCUCCUCAAGGACCGACCUUAUAAGCAUCAAGUAUUAGAGAACAUGUACUUUUCAAUACAACUUUUUCAGAAAUGCAUCUUUUUUCUCUAUGUGAACUUCAACUUUUUUUGUAUGUGAACUUCAUUGUGAAUUUACAUUUAUUUCUACACACAAAUUGCAUACACGAACUUUUUUAUUCUUUUACAUGUUCCACACUUUUCCAUUUCUUAUAUUUGAACUUCUUUCUCUUAUAUACAUAAAUAGAAAAUAUAACCACCCACUUUUUGCACUAUCGUACACACAGAACGCACGUGCCCGUUCACACUGUUGUCGAAAGUAUAACAUCAAGUAGGUAGAUGGCAUCAACUCAUACACAGUUUGUCCCCUGCACCUCGUGUAUGACCUUCUCCCCUGCCACAUGGUGACCUUCUUCCUUCCUCUAUUCACAUGGGUAGGGAACAGUAGAGCGGCACGGAGGAUCCUGGAGACACAAACUUUUGAGCAAAACUGAGAGAGAAAAAACACCAUAUAGUAUGGGACUACUCCUACUUAACUAAAUACAGAAGGCUCCAGCCACAACAUGGUUGAAAUACCAUAAACAUAUAUGAUUUUAAAAUAAUUCAUACAUGUUGUUCUAUGAAUUAGUUCAUGUGUGCAUGGAAAUUAUUUUAAAAGAAGAGAAUAUGCCAUUGUGCUAAUCUAGAAUCAAAAUUAUGUGUGAAAACAAUAACAGGUGCAAGUACCAAGGAAAGAUGAUUUUUGCACUUGCUUUAAGUGAACUUGACUACCAAACAGAGAACUGUCAAUCUACAUCAAGACUAUGGAAGCACAUCAAUAACAACAAUCCUAACAAGUACAACCUUGCAAACAAAUUAUAUCCACAACAUCACAAAGCCUCCAAGAUAUUUUGCAAAACUGAAACAUAACAAGGAAGUGAUCGAUUACCUGUCGUAGGGAUCUGGCUUGAUCCAGGCCAGGGUGGAAGAACGCAUGGUAAGUGAAUGGUAUUGGUUUUGAAGCGAAAAGCUCCUAAUCACCUUGCCUUGGUAAAUGUCCAUGGCGACGAUGUGCUUCUGCUCGCCGACGGUGACGUACAUGACGUACAUCAGGUGUUGAGUGUGUUGAUGACGUCCAUCUGCUAUCCAUGGCUCGAUGUACAACACACACACACACAAACACAAUGAGCCUAUCCAUCCGCUGCAUUUCCACAAAUGAUGCUGCAUCUAAUCUCAACUGAUUAUGUGGUGCCGCUAUAUCAAUCAAAAAGUAAGAUGUUUUCAGGAUGUGUGCACACUGCACGCACAUCUCGCCAUGACAGUGGAAGAUGAGUUGCACUAGCAUUAAUCAAGUUGGCCUGCUGAAAAUCAACACAAUGGACUGCAGCCAUACUAAUUACUCUAGAAAAUGAUCAAGAACAAUGGACCGUGUGCAGCCAUACUAAUUUCUUUUUUGUGGCAUAAACACAAGCAGUAGAUGCAUACUUUUUAAGACAACGAAAUGCAUCACGGUAGAAUGACAGAAGAGAUUCUGAACCGAAUCAAUAUGUGUCUAAUAAGAAAUACUCAAAGAAAGCAGUGGCAUACUGCAUUGCAUUAGUGUGUCUAAUAGGAAGUUAACCGAAGUUCAAAUAUUUCAUUGGACAAGGUUCAUCUACUUUCGGGCAUCAUGUCAAAGAGUUAGUGCUACCUCUUGAGCACUGCGUUGGUUUUCCCUUGAAGAGGAAAGGGUGAUGCAGUAAAGUAGCGUAAGUAUUUCCCUCAGUUUUUGAGAACCAAGGUAUCAAUCCAGUAGGAGAUCACGCUCAAGUCCCACACACCUACACAAACAAAUAGGAACCUUGCAACCAACGCGAUAAAGGGGUUGUCAAUCCCUUCACGGCCACAUGGAAAAGUGAGAUCUGAUAGAGAUGAUAAGAUAAUAUUUUUGGUAUUUUUAUGAUAAAGAAUAAAAGUAAAUAAAGCAAAAUAAGCGGUAAUAGAAAUAGCUUGUUGACGGGAGAUUAAUAUGAUGGAAAAUAGACCCGGGGGCCAUAGAUUUCACUAGUGGCUUCUCUCAAGAUAGCAUAAGUAUUACGGUGGGUAAACAAAUUACUGUCGAGCAAUUGAUAGAAUUGAGCAUAGUUAUGAGAAUAUCUAGGUAUGAUCAUGUAUAUAGGCAUCACGUCCGUGACAAGUAGACCGACUCCUGCCUGCAUCUACUACUAUUACUCCACACAUCGACCGCUAUCCAGCAUAAGAAUGGAGUAACGCUUUAAGCAAGAUGACAUGAUGUAGAGGGAUAAACUCAUGCAAUAUGAUAUAAACCCCAUCUUUUUAUCCUCGAUGGCAACAAUACAAUACGUGUCGUUUCCCCUACUGUCACUGGGAUCAAGCACCGCAAGAUUGAAACCAAAGCUAAGAACUUCUCCCAUUCCAAGAAAGAUCAAUCUAGUAGGCCAAACCAAACUGAUAAUUCGAAGAGACUUGCAAAGAUAACCAAUCAUACAUAAAAGAAUUCAGAGGAGAUUCAAAUAUUGUUCAUAGAUAAUCUUGAUCAUAAACCCACAAUUCAUCAGAUCUCGACAAACACACCGCAAAAGAAGAUUACAUCGAAUAGAUCUCUAAGAGAAUCGAGGAGAACUUUGUAUUGAGAUCCAAAAAGAGAGAGAAGCCAUCUAGCUAAUAACUAUGGACCCGAAGGUCUGAGGUAAACUACUCACACAUCAUCGGAGAGGCUAUGGUGUUGAUGUAGAAGCCCUCCAUGAUCGAUGCCCCCUCCGGUGGGGCGCCGGAAAAGGCCCCAAGAUGGGAUCUCACGGGUACAAAAGGUUGCGGCGGUGGAAAUAGGGUUUUGGCUCCGUCCCUGAUAUUUUCGGGGUACGUAGGUAUAUAUAUAGGAGGAAGAAGUAGGUCGGUGGAGCUACGAGGGGCCCACGAGGGUGGGGGGCACGCCCAGUGGGGCAUGCGCGCCUCCCUGCCUCGUGGCCUCCUCGUUGAUUGCUUGACGUCCACUCCAAGUCCUCUGGAUCACGUUUGUUUCGAAAAUCACGUUCCCGAAGGUUUCAUUCCGUUUGGACUCCGUUUGAUAUCCUUUUCCUUUGAAACACUAAAAUAGGAAAAAAAACCAGCAAUUUGGGCUGGGCCUCCGGUUAAUAGGUUAGUCCCAAAAAUAAUAUAAAAGUGUAUAAUAAAGCCCAUUAAACGUCCAAAACAGAAUAUAUAAUAGCAUGGAACAAUCAAAAAUUAUAGAUACGUUGGAGAGGUAUCAAGCACCUGCUCGUCCUCGAGUAGGUAAAUGAUAAAAACAGAUUUUUUGAUGUGGAAUGCUACUUAGCAUAAUUUUCAAUGUAAUUCUCUCAAUUGUGGCCUGAAUAUUCAGAUCCGAAAGAUUCAAGAUAAAAUUUUAAUAUUGACAUAGAAGUAAUAAUACUUCAAGCAUACUAACUAAGGAAUUAUGUCUUCUCAAAAUAACAUGGCCAAAGAAAGUUCAUCCCUACAAAAUCAUAUAGUUUGGUCAUGCUCCAUUUUCGUCACACAAGAAUGCUCUCAUCAUGCACAACCCCGAUGACAAGCCAAGCAAUUAUUUCAUACUUUAGUAAUCUCAAACUUUUUCAACUUUCACGCAAUAUAUGAGCGUGAGCUAUGGAUAUAGCACUAUGGGUGGAAUAGAAUAUGAUGAUGGGGGGUUAUGCAGAGAAGACAAAAAAGGAUAAAGUCUCACAUUGACACGGCUAAUCAACGGGCUAGGGAGAUGCCCAUCAAUUGAUGUCAAUGCAAGGAGUAGGGAUUGCCAUGCAACGGAUGCACUAGAGCUAUAAAUAUAUGAAAGCUCAACAAAAGAAACUAAGUGGGUGUGCAUCCAACUUGCUGGCUCACGAAGACCUAGGGCAUUUGAGGAAGCCCAUUGUUGGAAUAUACAAGCCAAGUUCUAUAAUGAAAAAUUCCCACUAGUAUGAAGUGACAAAAUAAAAAACUCUCUAUUAUAAAGAUCAUGGUGCUACUUUGAAGCACAAGUGUGGAAAAAGGAUAGUAGCAUUGCCCCUUUUAAUUUUCUUUUCUUUUUUCCUUUUUUUUCUCCUUUUUUUGGGACAAUGCUCUACGAAUGAUGAUCAUCACACUUCUAUUUAUUUACAACUCAAUGAUUACAACUCGAUACUAGAACAAAGUAUGACUCUAUAUGUGAAAGUGCGUUAUAUCGACUAGAGGGGGGUGAAUAGGCGAUUUUUAUGAAUUCUUCACUUAGGAAUUUGUGGGUGAGGAAAUUCCUUAGCGAAGAACUACUUGCAGCGGAAUUUGUGGGUGAGGAAAUGAAGACAAGCAUAGAGUACAGAAAGCGUAAACACAUGAUAACACAGGAUGAAGACAAAUAGACUGAAGAAAUUGAAAUGAGGAAAUUGAGAAAGUCUUCUGUCAAAGUCUUCAAACACAGAUAUGAACAAGUGCACAACACAGUUAUGAGGAAAUGAAAGAGUUGAGGAAAUAGAACUAGUUGGCUUGGUGAAGACAAUGAUUUGGUAGACCAGUUCCAACUGCUGUCUCAGUUGUACGUCUGGUUAGGGCGGCUAGGUAUUUAAACCUGAGGACACACAGUCCCGGACACCCAGUCCUGAACACGCAGUCCAGGACACUUAGUCCUCACCGUAUUCCUCUUGAGCUAAGGUCACACAGACCUCGCCUAAUCACUCGUGGUAAGUGUUCAGGUGACUUCCGAACCUUCACAAACUCGGUCACUCGGCGAUCCACAAUUUCCUCUUGGAUGCUCUAGACCAUGAUGCCUAACCGUCUGGAAGAAGCACAGUCUUCAAAGGUAACAAGUGUCGGAUCCACGCAGGAUCAAUCUCUUCAGUGAUGCUCAAUCACUUUGGGUUUGUAGGUGUUUGGGUUUGGGUUUUCCUCACUCGAUGAUUUUUGCUCAAAGUCCUCGGAGGAUGGGAUGCUCUCAAAUGACAAGUGUCAGUUUCUCUCGGAGCAGCCGACCAGCUAGUGGUUGUAGGGGGCGGCUAUUUAUAGCCUAGGGAGCAGCCCGGCAUGAUAAGACAUAAAUGCCCUUCAAUGAUAUGACCGUUAGGUGGAUAAGAUAUUUUGGGACAGCUGGCACGUAGCACAACAACGGUCGGAAAUUUGAGUAUCAAAUUCCUCAGGGCUAUCAUGUUCCUCACUGUGUAGGCAAUCCGCACUGGCGAAUUCCUAACUCCUCAGUCAGAACAAAUUCCUCAGAGACCAGAAGAACUUCGUCUCUGUCACUGAAGAAUAUGACUGAACUGUAUGAGAUUUCCAAUGGCUUCACUCGAAGGGAUUGGUAGGUGUAGGAUUUUGAGUUGAGCAUCACAUGGAAUUUUUUCCUUAGUAUUUCCUCGACCCCCUUUAACAGUACGGUGUUUCCUAUGACUCAAGAAAGAGAAAAUGAAACUACGAAAACAAAAGUCUUCACGCUUCAUGUUCCUCAAAUGAAUACCAAGUCUUCAAGGUCACACCAAUUUCUUCACUUUCAAAGUCUUCAGAAAUCCAAAGUCUUCAGUCGAAGAACUUCAUUUUUAGGGGUUGACUUUCUCUGUAAAUAUCAAACUCCUCAUAGACUUAUAGACCUGUCUACAUUAAUAAACACAUUAGUCCCUUAACCUAUAAGUCUUCAAUACACCAAAAUCACUAAGGGGCACUAGAUGCACUUACAAUCUCCCCCUUUUUGGUGAUUGAUGACAAUAUAGGUUAAGAUUUCAACGGGGAUAAACAUAUGAAGUGUAAAUACUGAUAUUGAGGAAUUUGAUUGCAAGAUAUAGAAGAACCCCCCCUGAAGAUGUGCAUAGUGAGGAAUUUGCUUUUGAAGCAAUGCACACUUGAAGAGUUGAAUCAUGGAGAUCUCCCUCUCUAUCUUGUAAUUCAUACACGCAUUUGACAUAAUAUAUGAAAAAUUUGAAAUGCAUGAUGAAAUAUGGUGACUGAUGUAAUUCAGCAUGCGUGCAAUAAUAUUAACGAGGAAUAAGCAUGCAGAAGAAACAGCAAAAGUAUCAGGCCACCAUAGAGUUUAAGUUUACAACUCGAUCCAACAAGGUCAUCAGAAGAACGAGAGUUGUAACUUUAGAAAAAGACACCCAUAGAAGAUAGACCCGCUUGAAGACUAACUCAAAUUUCUCCUCCUUUGUCAUCAAAUGACCAAAAGAUUCGAAAAUGAGGACUAACGCCCCUGAAGAAUAUCAAGGUGAUGAAGGAGCGUCAGCGUUGUUGGGGUUGUUUGUUGUAGUAGGGCCUGCCGCAGUGUCGUCCAAGUCUUCAUGUUCAUCAGUGUCAUGAGAUGAAGAAUAGGAGCUGGCCACCAAGGAAGGAACCUUGACCUUCUUGUACUUCUUCGGAGGAGGUGCAGCCCAGUCAAAAUCUUCCUUGAGACCCAUUUUCUUCAGAUCUUCUUCACCAUAGAUGUGCGACAGAACAACCCAGGUGCGGUUGAGGGUUUCAUGAAGGUAGUAAUGGUCUUUCUUCACUGCAUUGUGGGUAGCAGUCAUGUUGUGAAGAAUUGAACCAAACUGACGCUUGACCCAUUUGUGAUUGCGAUCAACCUUCUGGUGAAGACUGAGGAGAAGCUCACGGUCAGUCAUCACCCUAGGUGCUGUGCCUUGAGGAUUUUGCUUGCGUGCGUUGGCGGCAGAGUCAUGGGUGGCAGAGUCAUCAUUGGUGGAGUAGGAUGCAGCCUUGCAAAAUUGACCAUCCAAUGGACGAAUGCCUUCAUCAAUUACAGCAGUAGCCUUGCCCUUUUCAUCAGUUGAGGAAAAUGUCCGUUUGAGGACUUCAAUCAGGGGCAAGUAGCUGCAAUGGUUUAGUGUAUCAGCUUUGUAGUUGAGUGAAGACCUUGUUCUGAUGAAUCUCAUAAUCCAUGGUGCAUAAGGCUUCAACUCAAAUGGUGACAUUGCGACAUUGGCCAGAGUCCUCAUGAAGAAAUCAUGGAAGUUGACAGGAACGCCAUGAAUGAUGUUGAAAAGCAGAUUCUUCAUGAUGCCAACGACUUCUUCUUCAUUUGAGUCGUGGCCCUUGAUAGGACUCAAUGUCUUCGUCAGAAUGCGAUAGACAGUCCGAGGCACAUACAACAAUUCCUUCACAAGGAAUUUUGUUCUUGGGGCCUGACCUGGCUUCAAAGGCUUCAUCAACACUUGCAUAUAGUGAUCUGUAAGCUCAGGUUCAUUGUAGACGCAACAAGCACCUUCAAGGGGAGGACUGAGAGGCAAAGAACGAAGCAAUUCAGUAGCUGGUGCUUUGUAGUGAGUAUUUUCAGACAUCCAGUCCAGCACCCAUGAAUUCACAUCUUCAGAGUCUCCAGUGAUGUGCAGAGUUGCAUAAAAUUGAAGAAUGAGCUCCUCAUUCCAAUCACAUAUAUCAGUGCAGAAAUUUAACAAUCCAACAUCGUAAAGAACACUGAGGACUGGCCUGAAGCACGACAGAGAUUCCAUAUCCACGUGAGGAAUGUUGAACAACACUGAGGAAUAGAAAUUUGCCUGGCUGGCAGUCCAGAAACGCCUCUUCCUAAUGCGAGCAGAGUUAUAGGGGUUGUAAUCAGUGAAGAAUACGUGCUCGCCGAAGAAAUCAUCAGCCUUGAAUUUUUGCUUCCUUGAGAAUGGAUCCUUUGGCUUGGGCAGUGGAGUGUCAGUCAGUUGCAUGAUGACCUCAGGAAUCGCAAUCUCAGGUUCUUCAGGCUGAGGAAUUUCUGGUUCCUCUUCAGUGGCAGCCUGGUUCUUCAAUUCUUCAUUUUCAUUUUCUUCAGCACUAGCGGCUGGAAUGUCUUCAUGAGCUUCAUCAGAUCCCAUUUGAACUGUAGUUGCUGGGGACUGAGGAAUUUGUUGCAAUGGAGUGAAGAGUGGAGAAUUGGGGCGCUGACUUUCCCAAAAGUAAUCAUUCAUCACUGGUGUAGUACAGCCGAUGUCCACAUCUUCAUCUUCCAUUUCUUCAACGCCAGCCUCUUCAGCAGUAAACUGAGGCAUGGGUGAGGAAACUGUGGGGGUUGAAGGGAUUUUAUCCACUUCAAUUUCUUCAUCCAUCUGCUCUGAUGAAGCAGCAGAAGGAUUUUCUUCAUCAGAUCCGCUAGGGAUCACAUAUUCUUCAUCAAAAGGGAUGAUUUCCUUUGAUGGCAUGGAGGAAACAGGAACAACAUCAAUUGGAUUAGCAAAUGAGCUUGUCAAUUUCUUCAUCUUCUUCGGUGCUGAAGAAUCUGAAGGAGCUGAUGCUUUCCUUUUCUUCACUACUGCAUGCUCUACAGCCUUGGUCUUCUUCACAUCUAAUGCAGAUGGAAGGAUUGGAGUUGGAGUAAGCACAGGAGGAGCAGAGGAAUGUGGUUGAUUUUCUUCAGGCGCAACUGAUGUAGUUGCCCUGACCUCUUCAUUUUCUUCAGGCGCACCACUAGUGGGUGCCUUGGCAAUUUCAUCAGCGGCUGGAAUGCAUUCAUCAGCCCUGGAACUUACAUUUUCUUCAGCAGCCUGAUUGUCAUCAGCGGUGCUGGCAUGUUCUUCAGUUGGCUGAGCAGAUGCUUCAGCCUGAGGAAUUUCUUGUUGCGAUGGGGCUGCAACAUUUGAGGUGAACAUCUUAGUCAGUUUGACAAACCUGACCUUGGCUCCUUUCCAAUCAGCAUAGUAAGCAUUGAAAUCAUCGUCGAGGACUUUGAUUUCAGACUGGAUCUUUACAAGUUCAUCAGUUGUCAUAGAGACAAUGUUGUUCUUCAGGAUUUUUUCCUUCCUGUACUAUGCUUUCUUGAGCUGCCUGGCCUUCUCAAACUUCCAUUUUUCUUCUUGGAUGAAGGCAGUCAGCAUAUGACUUUGACCAGGAGUCAGCUUGAAGUCAGGCAUAUGAGUGUUUGGGUCCUUGUGCCAGAGAUCAAUGCAGUCGAGGAUCAACUUUGGAUCCAAAAGCAGAGGCACAUUUGUGCCCUUGGCUCUAGCGGCCCUGACUUGCCUAUCUCUAAUGAUUUCAGCAAGUUCUUCAUCAUCAACUUCGUCUUCUUCAGACGGCACUUGGAAGGCGACUUGCUUCUUGUGAGGACUUGGGCGAGAGCCUUGUCCUAUAGUGGUCUUUGUCUUCAGCAGAGAGGGUCCUGUUGAAGAAUUUGGUGCAGCUGAGGAACUAGCUGAAGCUCUUGAGGCAAAAGAGAUGUUUGUAGUCCUUUGGCACGUGGCGAGAUGCACAUGUGCUGAGGAUUUGGUCGGAGCAGCUGAGGACUUUGGAGGAGCGGGAGCGGCGUGAGGAAUUGGCCGUGAGGGCUUAGCUGAGGAAAUUGGCUGUGAGGGCAUUGAAGAAGAGGCACUUGGCUUGUGCGCAGGCUUCUUUGCCAUGGAUUUCUUCGGCCUUACAGAGGCCUCAGCAGCAGCAGCAGUAGAGUCUUCGUUGAAUUUCUUCACUGCUUCCUUAGCCUGUUUGGCCAACUUGGCCUAGCGCUUGGCCCAUUCUUCAGGAAAAUCCUCACCGCGCUUGAUGCUAGUGGGAUCCGCUUCUUGGCCAGGUGCCAAUGGUGGUCUUGAGCAUGGAGGAGUGACAACGAAUUUCUUCAUGUAUUUUGGAGUUACAUACCUGUACUCCAUCCACUCUUUUGCCCAUCUCCUCUCUAUCCUCUGAAUGCACACCUUGCACUGAUUCUUAUCUUCCUCAGGGGGUGUGCAGUACCCAGCAUAAAUGUCCUCAGGAAUUUCAAAGGCAGUAUUGAUUUCAGGCCUCUUUCCUCCUUUCUAUGGCUUCUUUCCAUCAGCCAUUUUCUUCAGUUGAGGAAUUUGAACAAUUGAACUCUCUGAAGAAGUAUGCAGCUUUUCUUCAAGGAACACUGCAAAUGAGUUAAGUUGAUGAGAACCUAGUGAUUCAGCAGCGGACAUGAGUACCUGUGAACAGAGUAUAGUUGCGAGGAAUUUGGAGAGGUCAUAUGCGUUCUCAGAAGGUUUUUCAAAAAGAACAAGUUUUAGGAAUUUGACCAGAUGAGUCUUGAAGAAUUUCACUAAGCGUUCUUUGUCUUAGGUUCCAGAGUUGUAUAGAUCGAAGAUCCACACAAUUGAGGAAUCUUGAAGAAAAAUGAUGCUUAGAGAAACGAAUCAAGAACAGAUGACAUGUGAGGUGUUCAGUGUGUGAAAAAUUUGAAGAACAAACACCUUUGAAGAUUUUGUAGAAAUCAUUUGAAUCAAAGAGGGCAGUAAAAGUAACUUUUAAUUACCCUGGACGAAGAACACGACGAACUGGGAUGUGGAGAAGUGAAGUUCGUCUGUGCAGAUCUUCCACGCCCUAACUCGGCGGAGAAAGACGGCUACGGCGGCGGCGGAGUGAAGAUUUCCGUGGCCGGCGCGAGUACGGCGGCGACGAGGUCGAGGCAGUGAAGCUCUUCCUCACCGGUGACGAUGAAGUAGCAACGGCGCUAGGGUUUGAGAAGCUCGAGCGGGAGAGAGAGGUCGAGCGGAGUAAAAGAAGUGAGGAAGGGGAGAGGGGGUAUUUAUAGCCACGGUGAAAAACUGUUCGCCCGAAGAAAUUGGACGAACGUGCCCCUGACCCUUCUCAUUCUCUUGACAUGUGUCACCCACGUACUGAGAAGUGGAGAUUGUAUUAGAUCAUGGGUGAAUUGAUAAGUAUUUCGUCGGAUGCGGAACAGUUUGAGCGGCAAAGCCGAAAAUUUGGAUAAGAUAAGUUAAAAGUUCCGUUCGCAAAUUCUUCAGCUGACAAGGACACAGUGAAGAUUUUGAACGAGUUUCAAAUAGAACGCAUAUGAAGAAUUUGUGAAUAGAUUGGGUUGAGUAUAGCAUAGAGGGGGAAGGGUCCGAUCACAUUCACUUAGCAGAAAAACCAACUUGAAGAAUUAGNNNNNNNNNNNNNNNNNNNNNNNNNNNNNNNNNNNNNNNNNNNNNNNNNNNNNNNNNNNNNNNNNNNNNNNNNNNNNNNNNNNNNNNNNNNNNNNNNNNNNNNNNNNNNNNNNNNNNNNNNNNNNNNNNNNNNNNNNNNNNNNNNNNNNNNNNNNNNNNNNNNNNNNNNNNNNAUAUAUAUAGCCAAUGAAGAAAAACGACGGAAACAGUGAAGAUUUUGCAAAGUUGAAGAAUAUGAACAACUGAGGAAUUUCAAAAACUGAGGAAAAACUCAAAUUGAAGAUUUUCAACUUUUGUGGUGGCGUGACCCACCGUAUAAGAAUGAUGAUUUCAGACACCGCGUACAAUUGUCGUAGGGUUCUGAGAAUCAAAUUCUUCAUUAAUUUCUUCACACUUAGAGUGUUAUUCUUCAUUGAUUGAAGAAAAACGUUUCUUCAUGUGUUGCACAUCUAAGUCAUCAAUUUUGCAUAAGUGUUAGGAUGAGCGUCCUUUUCAAAGAACAUUCGAAGAUUCUAAGAUAUUUAGCUCACACCACAACUUGCUAAAUCUCUUCUCAUCCAAGGGCUUUGUGAAGAUAUCGGCUAGCUGUUCUUCAGUCUUCACAUGCUCAAUAGAAAUGUCACCCUUCAACACAUGAUCGCGAAGAAAAUGAUGACGAAUCUGAAUGUGCUUUGUCUUCGAGUGCUGAACUGGGUUGUGAGCAAUCUUGAUGGUACUCUCAUUGUCAUAGAAGAGAGGCGCAUUCUUCACGUUGACGCUGUAGUCCUUGAGAGUUUGCUUCAUCCACAGCAAUUGAGCAUAGCAAGAACCAGCAGCAAUGUACUCAGCUUCAGCAGUAGACAGUGAUACGCAGUUCUGUUUCUUCGAGGACCAACAGACCAAAGAUCAUCCGAGGAAAUGACAUGUACCAGAUGUUGACUUGCGGUCCACACAAUCACCAGCAUAGUCAAAGUCAGAAUAUCCAAUGAGAUCAAAAGCCGAGCCCUUGGGGUACCAUAAUCCAAGUGUUGGUGUGUGAGCUAGAUAUCGAAGAAUAUGCUUCACAGCCUUAUGGUGUGAUUCCUUCGGUGUAGCUUGAAAUCGGGCACACAUGCAAACAGUAAGCAUUAUAUCUGGCCUAGAUGCACAUAAAUACAAUAAAGAACCAAUCAUGGAGCGGUAUACCUUAUGAUCGAAGUCAAUACCAUUUUCAUCAGUGCAUAGAUGGCCAUUUGUGGGCAUAGGAAUUUUGACGCCUUUGCAAUCUUGCAUGCCAAAUUUCCUCAGUACAUCCUUGAGGUAUUUCUCCUGAGAGAUGAAUAUGCCAUUGGCUGUUGACGAAUUUGAAGACCUAAGAAGAAUUUCAAUUCUCCCAUCAUAGACAUUUGAUAUUCUUCACUCAUCAUAUAGGCAAAUUCAUCACUAUAAUGUUUGUCAGUACAGCCAAAGAUAAUAUCAUCAACAUAUAUUUGGCACACAAACAAUUCAUCAUCAUAAGAUUUAGUGAAAAGAGUAGGGUCGAGUGAACCGGGUUUGAAGCCUUUCUUCAUGUGGAAUUCCUUCAAAGUAUCAUACCACACCCGAGGGGCUUGCUUGAGGCCAUAGAGGGCGUUAUUGAGUCUGAAGACUUUGUCAGGAUGCUUAGGAUCUUCAAAACCUGGGGGUUGAGCAACAUAUACUUCUUCCUCAAGCUUACCAUUGAGGAAUGCACUUUUCACAUCCAUUUGAUAUAAAGUGAUAUCAUGAUGGUUAGCAUAAGCAAGUAAUAUGCGAAUAGCUUCAAGUCUAGCAACAGGUGCAAAAGUUUCAUCGAAAUCAAUUCCUUCAACCUGUGUGUAGCCUUGAGCUACAAGCCGAGCCUUAUUCCUCACCACAAGGCCAUUUUCAUCUUGCUUGUUGUGGUAGAUCCACUUUGUGCCAAUGAUAUUGUGCUUGCGAGGAUCUGGACGUGUAACCAGUUCCCAAACGUUGUUGAGCUCGAAUUGAUGUAAUUCUUCUUGCAUGGCCUGAAUCCACUCAGGCUCCAGAAAUGCUUCAUCUACCUUAGUGGGCUCUGUGAUAGAGACAAAAGCAUAGUGCCCACAAAAGUUAGAUAAAUGUGAAGCUUUUGAGCGUGUGAGAGGACCUGGUGCUUCGAUGUCAUCGAUGAUCUUUUCAACUUGCACUUCUUUUGCAACGCGAGGAUGAGUAGGUUGUCGUCGAGGAAUUUGAUCAGUAUUUUCUUUAGCACCAUUUUCUUCAGCAAUUUCUUCAAGUGCAUUAGCUCGACGUUCUUCACAUUCUGGAAUGAAUUCUUUAGCAGAUUCUUCGGUAGGAAUGACAUCCUCAGUAGCCUUGAACUUGAUAGUUUCCUCAGGUGAUGGUUCAUCUAUCACAGAGGGUAGGUGCUCUCUUUGCGAGCCAUUAGUUUCAUUGAACCGCACAUCUACAGUUUCAACAACCUUGUGAAGAACCUUGUUGAAGACUCUGUAGGCGUGCGAGUCCUUUCUGUAACCAAGCAUAAAACCUUCAUGCGCUUUCAGUGCAAAUUUAGCAUUGUGAUGAGGAUCUCUAAUCCAACAUUUAGCACCGAAGACUUUGAAAUAACUCACAUUGGGUUUCUUGUCAGUGAGGAGUUCAUAUGCAGUCUUCUUGAAGAAUUUGUGAAGAUAUACUCUGUUGAUGAUGUGGCAUGCAGUAUAAAUUGCCUCAAUCCAGAAGCGACGAGGCGUCUUGUACUCAUCAAGCAUAGUGCGAGCCAUCUCAACAAGAGUUCUGUUCUUGCCUCCACGACGCCAUUCUGCUGAGGAGUGUAAGGAGCGGAUAACUCAUGAGUAAUACCAAGUUCAUGAAGAUAGUCAUCAAGACUAGAAUUCUUGAACUCAGUUCCAUUGUCACUUCUGAUGUGCUUGAUCUUCACACCAAAGUUGGUUGAAGCCCUCGAGGAAAUCGUUUGAAGACUUCCUGCACUUCAUGUUUGUAAGUAACAAUGUGUACCCAUGUGUAUCGAGAGUAAUCAUCAAUAAUAACAAAGCCAUAGAGAGAUGCAUCAUUUGUGACAGCCGAGUAAUGAUUAGGACCAAAGUCCAUGUGAAGCAAUUCGAAUGGUUGAGUAGUGGUCAUGAUAGUCUUCGCUGGAUGCUUAGCCUUGGUCAUCUUUCCAGCUUCACAAGCUCCACACAAGUGAUCCUUGAGGAAUUUGACAUUCUCAAUGCCAAUGACAUGCUUCUUCUUCGCAAGCGUGUGCAAAUUCCUCAUGCCUGCAUGACCAAGUCGUCGAUGCCAUAGCCACCCUUCUGAAGCUUUUGCAAGUAGGCACACGGCUGGUUGCGGUCCUGUAGAGAAAUCAACAAUAUACAAGUCUCCUCUCCUAAAGCCUUCGAAGACUUUGGAAUUGUCAGCUUCCAUAAGCACAACACAACGAUACUUGCCAAAGACAACUACCAUAUCAAGAUCACAAAGCAUUGAGACAGACAUAAGGUUGUAUCCUAAGGACUCGGCAAGCAUGACUUUGUCCAUGUGUCGAUCCUUUGUGAUCGCAACCUUACCUAGACCCAAUACCUGACUUUUGCCUUUGUCAGCGAAGAUGAUAUGCUUCAGAUGCGAUGGUGAUAAGGGCGCAUGUGAUGCCCGGAUAAUCAAGCUACAGUAACCUCUGCUAGUGAUGCCACGUCACGUCGAUUACUGUUGCUAAUCUCGCGUUAGUUCAAAACCGAUUCAAAAUUCAAAAUUCAAAACCAAGUCAAACAAUUAAAGUUUUCAAAAGUCAAAACUAAAAUAUUCCAGGUGUGACAAAUAAUACCUAGAUAAUAAUGGUGGAGAAACCAACAUCCUUAAAAAUGUUUGAAUGUCCUAACAUAAAUAAAACAGUGGCAAAACAAUUAAUUAAAUGCCUUUUACCAUUUAUAAAAUAUCAAACUAUUUUAGUUAGGAGUGAAACUUGUUGUGGCAGUGGGUUAAACCAUAAGACUAAUUUAGAAACUACCUUCCUAAUUUAUAAAACUAAGAUAAAUAGAAAACAAAAUAGAAAACUACAAAAAAAGAAAAGAAACAAACAAAAAAAAAAGAAAAAGCAAGGAAGGACCCCCCCGGCCAAGUGGCCCAGCUGGCCACUGGCCCAACUGGGCCGACCCCCAGGCCCAGCCNNNNNNNNNNNNNNNNNNNNNNNNNNNNNNNNNNNNNNNNNNNNNNNNNNNNNNNNNNNNNNNNNNNNNNNNNNNNNNNNNNNNNNNNNNNNNNNNNNNNNNNNNNNNNNNNNNNNNNNNNNNNNNNNNNNNNNNNNNNNNNNNNNNNNNNNNNNNNNNNNNNNNNNNNNNNNNNNNNNNNNNNNNNNNNNNNNNNNNNNNNNNNNNNNNNNNNNNNNNNNNNNNNNNNNNNNNNNNNNNNNNNNNNNNNNNNNNNNNNNNNNNNNNNNNNNNNNNNNNNNNNNNNNNNNNNNNNNNNNNNNNNNNNNNNNNNNNNNNNNNNNNNNNNNNNNNNNNNNNNNNNNNNNNNNNNNNNNNNNNNNNNNNNNNNNNNNNNNNNNNNNNNNNNNNNNNNNNNNNNNNNNNNNNNNNNNNNNNNNNNNNNNNNNNNNNNNNNNNNNNNNNNNNNNNNNNNNNNNNNNNNNNNNNNNNNNNNNNNNNNNNNNNNNNNNNNNNNNNNNNNNNNNNNNNNNNNNNNAUUAAUUAAUUAACUAAACUAAUUAAGUUAAUUAAUCCUGUUUAAAUUGAUUAAACAGUAAUUAUUUAGCUAAACCCUAAUUAACCUAAACAGGGAAUGACAGGUGGGUCCCACUUGACCCACAUGUCAGUUUGACUUAGUCAACCCCUGUUGACUGCUAAUGUCAGCAUGACAUCAUGUUGAUGUCAUAAAUCCAUUUUCUAAUUAAUUUAAAUAAUUAAUUAAAUUCCAGAAAUUAAUAAAAUCUUUAGAAAAUCAUAUCUUUUAAUCCGUAACUCGGAUUAAAAUAUUUUCAACAUGAAAGUUGCUCAGAACGACGAGACGAAUCCGGAUACGCAUUCCGUUCGUCCACCACACCUCCCUAACCUAUCGAACUCGCAAUCUUCCCCCUCCGGUCCGUCUGUCCGAAAACGCGAAACAUCGGGAAGACUUUCCCGGAUGUUUCCCCCCUUCACCGGUAUCACCUCAUACCGCGUUAGAACACGUCUAGCUCUGCCUGUUGUCUUGUUAUGCACUUGCUUGCUAUGUAUUUACUGUUUCUCCCCCCUCUUCUCUUCGGUAGACCCCGUGACGAUGCUGAUGCCCCUGUGGUCGACUACGUCACCGAUGACCCCUCCUUCUUGUCUGAGCAACCAGGCAAGCCCCCCCCCUUGAUCACCAGAUAUCGCCUACUCUACUCUCUACUACUUGCAUUAGAGUAGUGUAGCAUGUUACUGCUUUCGAUUAAUCCUAUUCUGUUGCAUAGCCUGUCAUUGUUGCUACAGUUGUUUCCCUUACCUGCUAUCCUACUGCUUAGUAUAGGAUGCUAGUGUUCCAUCAGUGGCCCUACACUCUUGUCCGUCUGCCAUGCUAUACUACUGGGCCGUGAUCACUUCGGGAGGUGAUCACGGGUAUAUACUAUAUACAUUAUAUACAUGACACGUGUGGUGACUAAAGUCGGGUCGGCUCGUUGAGUACCCGCAAGUGAUGCUGAUGAGGGGGCUGAAAGGACAGGUGGCUCCAUCCCGGUAGAGGUGGGCCUGGGUUCCUGACGGCCCCCGACUGUUACUUUGUGGCGGAGCGACAGGGCAGGUUGAGACCACCUAGGAGAGAGGUGGGCCUGGCCCUGGUCGGCGUUCGUGGUUACUUAACACGCUUAACGAGAUCUUGGUAUUUGAUCUGAGUCUGGCCAUUUGGUCUAUACGCACUAACCAUCUACGUGGGAGUAGUUAUGGGUAUCCCGAUGUCGUGGUAUCAGCCGAAGCUCUUUUGACGUCAGCAACUGAGUGGCGCACGCCGCAUUGGACCGUAAGCUCGCGCUUGUAUUAAGGGGGCUAGGUCUGCUUACGGUCGCGUACGAAACGUGCAGGUGUGCAUAGGGCGAUGGGCCCAGACCCCUACGCGCAUAGGUUUAGACCGGCGUGCUGACCUCUCUGUUGGGCCUAGGUGGGGCUGCGACGUGUUGAUCUUACGAGGCCGGGCAUGACCCAGAAAAGUGUGUCCGGCCAAAUGGGAUCGAACGUGUUGGGUUAUGUGGUGCACCCCUGCAGGGAAGUUUAUCUAUUCGAAUAGCCGUGUCCCUCGGUAAAAGGACGACCCGGAGUUGUACCUUGACCUUAUGACAACUAGAACUGGAUACUGAAUAAAAUACACCCUUCCAAGUGCCAGAUACAACCCGGUGAUCGCUCUCUAACAGGGCGACGAGGAGGGGAUCGCCGGGUAGGAUUAUGCUAUGCGAUGCUACUUGGAGGACUUCAAUCUACUCUCUUCUACAUGCUGCAAGAUGGAGAUGGCCAGAAGCGUAGUCUUCGACUGGACUAGCUAUCCCCCUCUUGUUCUGGCAUUCUGCAGUUCAGUCCACUGAUAUGGCCCUUUACACAUAUACCCAUUGCAUAUGUAGUGUAGCUCCUUGCUUGCGAGUACUUUGGAUGAGUACUCACGGUUGCCUUUCUCCCUCUUUUCCCCUUUGUAUACCUGAUUGUCGCAACCAGAUGCUGGAGUCCAGGAGCUAGAGAUCCCGAGGAUGAUUCUACAUGGAGUUCGGCUUCGAGGAGUAGUUAGGAGGUCCCAGGCAGGAGGCCUUGCCUUUUCGAUCGUCGCUACUUUUGUGCUAGCCUUCUUAAGGCAAACUUGUUUAACUUAUGUCUGUACUCAGAUAUUGUUGCUUCCGCUGACUCGUCUGUGAUCGAGCACUUGUAUUCGAGCCCUCGAGGCCCCUGGCUUGUAUUAUAAUGCUUGUAUGACUUAUUUAUGUUUUAGAGUUGUGUUGUGAUAUCUUCCCGUGAGUCCCUGAUCUUGAUCGUACACAUUUGCGUGCAUGAUUAGUGUACGGUCAAAUCGGGGGCGUCACAGCACAUCCAUCAAUAGAUUCUUGUCACCAGUCAUGUGAUUUGUACAUCCACUAUCGAGGACCCACUUAGUGGCUUUGGGUUGAUCAUCCUGCAGAUGAAUUAGUGCAGCUUACGAACUUCAUAUACUUCAUCAGUGAAGAAUAUGACAUCACAAUUCAUCAGACCAAUUUCAUCAAGCAAUGCAAUAGUUAAAACAGUAUGAGGACGUGAGAAAUGAAAGUUCAUUUCUUCAUGAUUAGCCUGCGUCCUUUCAGGCACUUUUCAGGUCUCGAGUAAAUUCUUCAGACGUUCACGCACGUCUGGAGACCUGACCCUGCAGAAGAGAUUAGUUCUUUUUCUUCACCACCCACAUCUGAAGGGGUGGCAAAGAGUUCAUCACUCUGCGAGCUCCAUAUGAGAAAGGUGGCAUAGAAGCCAAUCCAUUUCGUUUCAUAUAAGAGGAGUUAGGGUAAGCAUAUGAAUAAGUAGAGAAAUUCUUCGAGGACUUAUGAACAUAAUGAUUAGAAGAAUAAUGCUCAUAUUCAUAGCCCUUAGCUCUUCCCUGCGAAAUAGAGUUGUUAGCACGAUGAUAUUCAUAUGAGGACUUUGAUCCUUUUGAGGAAUUUGAUCCACGUGAGGAGUUUGGUCCGUAUGAGGACUUGGAUCCAUAUGAAGAAUUUGGUCCAUAUGAAGAAUUUGAUCUGGGGUUCCUAUUCUUCACAGGUGGUGUCAUGAGGACAUUCACCUGAAGACUUUCAAGGCACCUUUUGGGAACCCAGAUUUUCUUCAUAGGAGAACCGUUCCUGCAGUUAGUGCCAACAUAUCUAGCAAAUACGUCACCAUUCUGAUUUUUAAACAGUUUAUAGUUGGAGUCAAAUGACUCAUCAGAAGAAUGAGAAGAUUCACAUGUAAAGCCAGAUAAAUUAGAUUGAUCAACUGGAGGUCCCUUUGCAGCAACCCAUGAGGUUUUGGGGUACUGCUCAGGCUUCCAAUAUGUACCAUCAGCAUUAAGUUUCCUCUCAAAGGCAAUACCCUCUUUCCUAGGGUUCCUGUUGAGGAUCUGUUUUUUAAGCACAUCACAAAGAGUCUGAUGCCCUUUGAGGCUUUUGUACAUGCCUGUCAUGUACAAUUCCUUCAGCCCUGCAUCGUCAGUGAUACUAGCAAUGUCCUCAGAUGAGGAAUUAGUGAUAGCAGAGACAGUUGAAGAAUUUGAACAUUCAGGUGAAGAAUUAGCAGAUUCACGUUCAAUGCACUUUAAGCAUGGAGGAAUGAAUUCUUCUUGAGCAGCGCUGAUUUGUUGAGCAAGUAAUGAAUCACGCUCCUUCUGAAGAUCUUCAUAACUCACUCUUAGCUUCUCAAGAUCUUGCUUUCUUUGAAGAAAUUCAUAAGAAGGCUUCUCAUGAUCAGAUAAGAGAGUGUUAUGAUGACCUUGAAGAUUGUCAAAUCUAGACUGAAGUCUCUGAAGAUUUUCAGUCAAGGUUUUAGUGCGAUCCAUUUCUUCACCCAACAUAUCAUCACUUUUAUCUAGCAUGUUUUGAACCUUUUCCAAGGCCUUUUGUUGUUUAGUGGCAAUACAAACAAGCUUGGUAUAGCUAGGUCCAAAAUCAUCAUCAGAUUCAUCAUCACUAGACUCGGAUGAGGAACAUUCGGUUACCUUGGCACCUUUUGCCAUGAGGCAUGGUGCAAAAGAUGAUGGUUCAGGUUCGAAAGUCAUCAUUUUGAGUGAUUUCUUGAAAUCCUCAAACCAGGGAUCAUGACAAGUUCGAUGACCUUCAUAGACGUCAGAGAUUCGGUCCCAGAUAAGCUUCGCAUUGCAAAGAUGCAUAAUGCGCCUGAAUUCAUCUCUGGAUAGGCAGGAACAGAUGAUAUCCUUCGCCAUGAUGUCAAGUCGAGUGUACUUGCGAAUAUCAUCAGUGCCCGCCAUCUUGCAUAGAUCGAUAAGACCAAUCUCAGUGACGGUCCACAGCUCGCUGUUCAGUGCCAUGAGGCGCUUCCUCAUCAUGGCUUUCCACUUGGGAUAAUCAUGACCGUCAAAGAUGGGGCAUGUCACUUUCUUCAUACCUGCGGUCGACAUAACUAAAACUCCAGGCGGUUAAAACAAAAUCACAUAGAACAAGGGAGUACCUUGCUCUGAUACCAAUUGAAAGUGCGUUAUAUCGACUAGAGGGGGGUGAAUAGGCAAUUUUUAUGAAUUCUUCACUGAGGAAUUUGUGGGUGAGGAAAUUCCUUAGCGAAGAACUACUUGCAGCGGAAUAAGUACUCAAAAGUAUGCAUAGCAGAACACAAGCAUAGUCAUCAUGAUGAAAUAAAGACAAGCACAGAGUACAGAAAGCGUAAACACAGGAUAACACAGGAUGAAGACAAACAGACUGAAGAAAUUGAAAUGAGGAAAUUGAGAAAGUCUUCAAACACAGAUAUGAACAAGUGCACAACACAGUUAUGAGAAAAUGAAAGAGUUGAGGAAAUAGAACCAGUUGGCUUGGUGAAGACAAUGAUUUGGUAGACCAGUUCCAACUGCUGUCUCAGUUGUACGUCUGGUUAGGGCGGCUAGGUAUUUAAACCUGAGGACACACAGUCCCGGACACCCAGUCCUGAACACGCAGUCCAGGACACUUAGUCCUCACCGUAUUCCCCUUGAGCUAAGGUCACACAGACCUCGCCCAAUCACUCGUGGUAAGUCUUCAGGUGACUUCCGAACCUUCACAAACUCGGUCACUCGGCGAUCCACAAUUUCCUCUUGGAUGCUCUAGACCAUGACGCCUAACCGUCUGGAAGAAGCACAGUCUUCAAAGGUAACAAGCGUCGGAUCCACGCAGGAUCAAUCUCUUUAGUGAUGCUCAAUCACUUUGGGUUUGUAGGUGUUUGGGUUUGGGUUUUUCUCACUCGAUGAUUUUCGCUCAAAGUCCUCGGAGGAUGGGAUGCUCUCAAAUGACAAGUGUCAGUUUCUCUCGGAGCAGCCGACCAGCUAGUGGUUGUAGGGGGCGGCUAUUUAUAGCCUAGGGAGCAGCCCGGCAUGAUAAGACAUAAAUGCCCUUCAAUGAUAUGACCGUUAGGUGGAUAAGAUAUUUUGGGACAGCUGGCACGUAGCACAGCAACGGUCGGAAAUUUGAGUAUCAAAUUCCUCAGGGCUAUCAUGUUCCUCACUGUGUAGGCAAUCCGCACUGGCGAAUUCCUAACUCCUCAGUCAGAACAAAUUCCUCAGAGACCAGAAGAACUUCAUCUCUGUCACUGAAGAAUAUGACUGAACUGUAUGAGAUUUCCAAUGGCUUCACUCGAAGGGAUUGGUAGGUGUAGGAUUUUGAGUUGAGCAUCACAUGGAAAUUUUUCCUUAGUAUUUCCUCGACCCCCUUUAACAGUACGGUGUUUCCUAUGACUCAAGAAAGAGAAAAUGAAACUACGAAAACAAAAGUCUUCAUGCUUCAUGUUCCUCAAAUGAAUACCAAGUCUUCAAGGUCACACCAAUUUCUUCACUUUCAAAGUCUUCAGAAAUCCAAAGUCUUCAGUCGAAGAACUUCAUUUUUAGGGGUUGACUUUCUCUGUAAAUAUCAAACUCCUCGUAGACUUAUAGACCUGUGUACACUCAUAAACACAUUAGUCCCUUAACCUAUAAGUCUUCAAUACACCAAAAUCACUAAGGGGCACUAGAUGCACUUACAAUAUGAAUUCCUCCGGCGGUGUACCGGGAUGGGCAAUGAAUCAAGAGUGACAUGUAUGAAAUAACAUGCAUGGUGGCUUUGCCACAAAUACGAUGUCAACUACAUGAUCAUGCAAGGCAAUAUGACAAUGAUGAAGCGUGUCAUGAUAAACGGAACAGUGGAAAGUUGCAUGGCAAUAUCUCUCGGAAUGGCUAUGGAAAUGCUGUAAUAGGUAGGUAUGGUGGCUGUUUUGAGGAAGAUAUAAAGAUGUUUAUGUGUGAUAGAGCGUAUCAUAUCACGGGGUUUGGAUGCACCGGCGAAGUUUGCACCAACUCUCAAGGUGAGAAAGGGCAAUGCAUGGUACCGAAGAGGCUAGCAAUGAUGGAAAGGUGAGAGUGCGUAUAAUCCAUGGACUCAACAUUAGUCAUAAAGAACUCACAUACUUAUUGCAAAAAUCUACAAGUCAUCAAAAACCAAGCACUACGUGCAUGCUCUUAGGGGGAUAGAUUGGUAGGAAAAUACCGUCGCUCGUCCCCGACCGCCACUCAUAAGGAGGACAAUCAAAGAACACCUCAUGUUUCAAAUUUGUUACAUAGCGUUUACCAUACGUGCAUGCUACGGGACUUGCAAACUUCAACACAAGUAUUUCUCAAAUUCACAACUACUCAACUAGCACAACUUUAAUAUCACUACCUCCAUAUCUCAAAACAAUCAUCAAGCAUCAAACUUCUUUUAGUAUUCAACGCACUUAUAAGAAAGUUUUUACUAAUCUUGGAUGCCUAUCAUAUUAGGACUAAUUUCACAAUUUAAGAAAAUUACCAUGCUGUUUUGUAGGACUCUCAAAAUAAUAUAAGUGAAGCAUGAGAGAAAAAUAAUUUCUAUAAAAUAAAACUACCACCGUGCUCUAAAAGAUAUAAGUGAAGCACUAGAGCAAAAACUGUAUAGCUCAAAAGAUAUAAGUGAAGCACAUAGAGUAUUCUAACAAAUUCCGAAUCAUGUGUGUCUCUCUCAAAAGUGUUUAUAGCAAGGAUGAUUGUGGUAAACUAAAAAGCAAAGACUCAAAUCAUACAAGACGCUCCAAGCAAAACACAUAUCAUGUAUUGAAUAAAAAUAUAGCCCCAAGUAAAGUUACCGAUAGACGAAGACGAAAGAGGGGAUGCCUUCCGGGGCAUCCCCAAGCUUAGGCUCUUGGUUGUCCUUGAAUUUUACCUAGGGGUGCCUUGGGCAUCCCCAAGCUUAGGCUCUCGCCAAUCCUUGUUCCAUAAUCCAUCAAAUCUUUACCCAAAACUUGAAAACUUCACAACACAAAACUUAACAGAAAAUCUCGUGAGCUCCGUUAGCAAAACAAAACAAAACACCACUUCAAGGUACUGUAAUGAAAUCAUUAUUUAUUUAUAUUGGUGUUAAACCUACUGUAUUCCAACUUCUCUAUGGUUUAUAAACUCUUUUACUAGCCAUAGAUUCACCAAAAUAAGCAAACAACACGCGAAAAACAGAAUCUGUCAAAAACAGAACAGUCUGUAGUAAUCUGUAUCAAACGCAAACUUCUGUAACUCAGAAAAAUCCACCAAACUAGGACGACCUAUAUAAUUUGUUUAUUGAUCUACUGCAAUUGGAAUCAGUAUUUUAUCACGUUCUGGUGAUUUUAAACAAUUGUUUUCGUGAACAGAAAGUUUCUGGAAUUUUCAGCAAGAUCAAAUAACCAUCAUCCAGGAAGAUCCUAUAGGUUUCACUUGGCACAAACACUAAUUAAAACAUGAAAACACAUCUAAACAAAGGCUAGAUCAAAUAUUUAUUACUAAAUGGAACCAAAAAGCAAGAAAAUAAAACAAAAUUGGGUUGCCUCCCAACAAGCGCUAUCGUUUAACGCCCCUAGCUAGGCAUAAAAGCAAGGAUAGAUCUAGGUAUUGCCAUCUUUGGUAGGCAAUCCAUAAGUGGCUCUCAUAAUAGAUUCUUAAGGUAACUUAAUCUUCUUUCUAGGGAAGUGUUCCAUGCCUUUCCUUAACGGAAAUUGGAAUCUAAUAUUCCCUUCCUUCAUAUCAAUAAUUGCACCAAUCAUUCUAAGGAAAGGUCUACCAAGAAUAAUAGGACAUGAAGGAUUGCAAUCUAUAUCAAGAACAAUAAUAUCUACGGGCACAUAGUUCCUAUUUGCAACAAUAAGAACAUCAUUAAUUCUUCCCAUAGGUUUCUUGAUAGUGGAAUCCGCAAGAUGCAAGGUUAAAGGACAAUCAUCAAAUUCACGGAAACCUAGCAAAUCACAUAAAGUUUUUGGGAUGGUGGAAACACUAGCACCCAAAUCACACAAAGCAUAGCAUUCAUGAUCUUUAAUUUUAAUUUUAAUUGUAGGUUCCCACUCAUCAUAAAGUUUUCUAGGGAUAGAAACUUCCAACUCAAGUUUUUCUUCAUAAGAUUGUAUCAAAGCAUCAACGAUAUGUUUAGUAAAGGCUUUAUUUUGGCUAUAAACAUGAGAAGAAUUUAGCACGGAUUGCAACAAGGAAAUACAAUCUAUCAAAGAGCAAUUAUCAUAAUUAAAUUCCUUGAAAUCCAAAAUAGUGGGUUCAUUGCUAUCUAAAGUUUUAACUUCUUCAAUCCCACUUUUACCAAUUUUUGCAUCAAGAUCUAAAAACUCCGAAUUUUUGGGACGCCUUUUAACUAAAGUUGACUCAUCUCCAGUCCCAUCAUUAUCAAGAUUCAUAUUGCAAAACAAUGAUUUAAUAGGAGACACAUCAAUAACCUUUAGAUAUUCAUCUUUAUUUUCAUAAAAACUUUCCGGUUUAGUGGCCAUCUUAUUAACUAAGGUGGUCUGCUUAUCCGAAAUUUCAGCUAUUAAUUUUUCAAGAUGAGCAAUCUGAGAUUUCAAACCAUAAAAUUCCUUAGACAUGUCAUCAAGCUCUUUAUUCAUGUACUCCAUAAAGCCUUUUUGUUCAUUAAGCUCAUUUCUAAAGAAAUUAUUAUGCUCAAAUUGUAAAGUCAUAAAGCUUCUGACGUUGCUUUCAAUCUCUUCCAACCUUUUAAGGUGAGGAUCACCAAAUCUAGGCAGGGCCAUAGGGGCAACAAGCAACAAGAGGCAAGCGAAAAAGAGACGAACGGAAGGGCGAAUAAAACGGCAAGGGUGAAGUGGGGGAGAGGAAAACGAGAGGCAAAUGGCAAAUAAUGCGAGGGAUAAGAGCUUGUGAUGGGUACUUGGUAUGUCUUGACUUGUGCGUAGACUCCCCGGCAAUGGCGCCAGAAAUCCUUCUUGCUACCUCUUGAGCACUGCGUUGGUUUCCCUUGAAGAGGAAAGGGUGAUGCAGUAAAGUAGUGUAAGUAUUUCCCUCAGUUUUUGAGAACCAAGGUAUCAAUCCAGUAGGAGACCACGCUCAAGUCCCACGCACCUACACAAACAAAUAAGAACCUUGCAACCAACGCGAUAAAGGGGUUGUCAAUCCCUUCAUGGCCACUUGCAAAAGUGAGAUCUGAUAGAGAUGAUAAGAUAAUAUUUUUGGUAUUUUUAUGAUAAAGACUAAAAGUAAAUAAAGCAAAAUAAGCGGUAAUAGAAAUAGCUUGUUGACGGGAGAUUAAUAUGAUGGAAAAUAGACCCGGGGGCCAUAGGUUUCACUAGUGGCUUCUUAUUACGUUGGGUAAACAAAUUACUGUUGAGCAGUUGAUAUAACCGAGCAUAGUUAUGAGAAUAUCUAGGUAUGACCAUGUAUAUAGGCAUCACGUCCGUGACAAGUAGACCGGCUCCUGCCUGCAUCUACUACUAUUACUCCACACAUCGACCGCUAUCCAGCAUGCAUCUAGAGUAUUAAGUUCAUAAGAACGGAGUAACGCUUUAAGCAAGAUGACAUGAUGUAGAGUGAUAAACUCAUGCAAUAUGAUAUAAACCCCAUCUUUUUAUCCUCGAUGGCAACAAUACAAUACGUGUCGUUUCCCCCACUGUCACUGGGAUCAAGCACCACAAGAUUGAACCCAAAGCUAAGCACUUCUCCCAUUGCAAGAAAGAUCAAUCUAGUAGGCCAAACCAAACUGAUAAUUUGAAGAGACUUGCAAAGAUAACCAAUCAUACAUAAAAGAAUUCAGAGGAGAUUCAAAUAUUGUUUAUAGAUAAUCUUGAUCAUAAACCCACAAUUCAUCGGAUCUCGACAAACACGCCACAAAAGAAGAUUACAUCGAAUAGAUCUCCAAGAGAAUCAAGGAGAACUUUGUAUUGAGAUCCAAAAAGAGAGAAGAAGCCAUCUAGCUAAUAACUAUGGACCCGAAGGUCUGAACUACUCACAAAUCAUCGGAGAGGCUAUGGUGUUGAUGUAGAAGCCCUCCGUGAUCGAUGCCCCCUCCGGCGGAGUGCCAGAAAAGGCCCCAAGAUGGGAUCUCACGGGUACAGAAUGUUGCGAUGGUGGAAAUAGGGUUUUGGCUUCGUCCCUGAUGUUUUCGGGGUACGUAGGUACAUAUAGGAGGAAGAAGUAGGUCGGUGGAGCUACGAGGGGCCCACGAGGGUGGGGGGCGUGCCCAGGGGGGCAGGCACGCCUCCCUGCCUCGUGGCCUCCUCGUUGAUCGCUUGACGUCCACUCGAAGUCCUCUGGAUCACGUUUGUUCUGAAAAUCACGUUCCCGAAGGUUUCAUUCCGUUUGGACUCCGUUUGAUAUCCUUUUCCUUCGAAACACUGGAAUAGGCAAAAAAAAAAACA
rnacentral:lncRNA from 1 species